GUCGGCAACGGUAGUGACGCGUAUUGCCGAGAGGAUGGCGGACGCCGGCUUACGCCGCGUGGUUCCCAGCGACCUGUAUCCCCUCGUGCUCGGCUUUCUGCGCGAUAACCAGCUCUCGGACGUGGCCAACAAGUUCGCCAAGGCAACAGGCGCUACCCAGCAGGAUGCCAAUGCCUCUUCCCUCUUGGACAUCUAUAGUUUCUGGCUCAAGUCCACCAAGGCCCCAAAGCGGAAGUUACAGGCAAAUGGACCAGUGACUAAGAAGGCUAAGAAGAAGACUUCAUCCAGUGACAGCAGUGAGGACAGCAGUGAGGAGGAAGAAACCCAAGGGCCUCCCGCUAAGAAAGCUGCUGUACCUGCCAAGCGGGCCAGUCUGCUUCAGCAUCCUGGAAAGGCUGCAGUCAAGGCAUCAGAGAGCAGCAGCAGCAGUGAAGAAUCCAGUGAUAAUGAGGAGGAGGACAAAAAGAAAAAGCCUGUCCAGAAGGGAGUUAAGCCCCAAGCCAAGACAGUCAAAGCUCCUCCUAAGAAGGCCAAGAGCUCUGAUUCUGAUUCUGACUCAAGCUCAGAAGAUGAGGUGCCAAAGAACCAGAAACCAAAGACAACACCCGUGGCAGCUAAAGCUCAGGCUAAAGCCCUAGCCAAACCAGGUAUACCAGCUCGUCCAGCACCUAAAGUAGUCAAUGGCAAAGCAGCUGGUAGUAACAGCAGCAGCAGCAGUAGCAGCAGCAGCAGUGAUGAUGACUCAGAGGAGGGGAAAGCAGCAGCCGUAUCUAAGAAGACUGUACCUAAAAAGCAAGCUGUGGCCAAGGCCCCAGUGAAAGCAGCUGCCACUCCUGCCCAAAAGAGUUCCAGCAGUGAGGACUCCUCCAGUGAGGAGGAGGAGGAGGAAGAGCAGAAGAAAAAACCCAUGAAGAAAAAACCAGGUCCCUAUAGUUCAGUUCCCCCGCCUUCUGUUCCCCCACCCAAGAAGUCCCUGGGAAUUCAGGCUCCCAAGAAAGCUGCAGAGAAGCAGCAGCCUGUGGAGAGCAGUGAGGACAGCAGCGACGAGUCUGAUUCAAGUUCUGAGGAAGAAAAGAGACCCCCAGCUAAGGCAGUCAUCUCCAAAGCAACUACUAAACCAGCUCCAGCAAAGAAGGCAGCAGAGAGCUCUUCAGACAGCUCAGACUCCGACAGUUCUGAUGAAGCUCCUGCUAAGCCAGCCAGUACCACCAAGAAUUCCUCAGGUAAGCCAGCUGCCACUCCCAAGCAGCCUGCGGUUAAGCCAGCUACAACUCCCAAGCAGCCUGCAGCCACUGGCCAGAAGCCUCUGACCAGAAAGGCUGAUAGCUCCUCCAGCGAGGAGGAGAGCAGUGCUAGUGAGGAGGAGAAGACGAAGAAGACUGUAGCCACCCCUAAGUCCAAGGUGAUGGCCAAAGCAGCUCCGUCUUUGCCUGCCAGGCAGGCCUCUCAGGGUGGUGGGGACAGCAGCUCUGAUUCAGACAGCUCCAGCAGCGAGGAAGACGAGGACGAGAAGACGCCUAAACCCCCAGCCAAAAAGAAGCCACAGAAGGCAGGGGGAACUGUAGCCCCUUCCAAACCAGCCUCUGUGAAGAAAGCAAAGGCCGAGAGCAGCAGCACUUCUUCCUCUGAGGACUCCAGUGAGCAGGAGGAAGAGGAGAAGCCCAAGGCCAAGGGCACUCCAAGACCACAAACCGCCAAGGCCAAUGGCACCUCUGCACUGACUGCCCAGAAUGGAAAAGCAGACAAGGACAGCAACGAGGAGGAGCGGGGCAAGAAAAAGGCAGCAGUGGCAGUUGCUAAGCCAGGUUCAGGAAAGAAGCAGAAGCAGAAUGAGGCUGCUAAGGAGGCAGAGACUCCUCUAGCCAAGAAGAUAAAGCCCCAGACCCCCAACACAUUUCCUAAAAGGAAGAAAGGAGAACGAAGGGGAUCCUCCCCAUUCCGAAGGAUCAGGGAGGAGGAGAUUGAGGUGGAUGCUCGAGUGGCAGACAAUUCCUUUGACGCCAAGCGGGGUGCAACCGGAGACUGGGGGGAGCGAGCCAAUCAAGUUCUGAAGUUCACCAAAGGCAAAUCCUUCCGGCAUGAGAAAACCAAGAAGAAGCGGGGCAGUUACCGGGGAGGCUCCAUCUCUGUCCAAGUCAAUUCUGUUAAGUUUGACAGCGAGUGACCGUGGACCAUCUGUAGCACAGCAGGGGUGAUGAUCUGAGACCACUCACUUUCCCCAGUGGACCUGGGAACCCUCAGCUCUAUCGGGGGAGGGUCUCAGUGAGGAGAGCAGUUUAGAUUAGGUCUGAAGGCUUUGCGUCGUAACAUCCUCUAAGGUCCUUUUCUGUGUUUGUGGUUUUGUACAGAUUUGUUUUUGAGUGUUGGGUAGCAAGGACAAGGUAAGGGGAGUGUUCUUUUUUAAGAAAAAUUGUUUUAGUUGUCAUUCUCCCUGUUUUGUGGAAGUUCUCAUACUGAGAAAUUUGUAUAUUUUACAUUAGAUUAUUUCUUAUUGAUUUUUGUUGUGGUUUUCAGAGGUGGGUUCACAGAUUAAAAUCUCAGCUAUCUUCCAAGAUGUGGUAAAGGUCACAUUAUGAAUUUUUAUAAUUGGAGAAUUCUGUCUAUGGGAGUGCUUGUGUCCACAUUUCAUCCUUUCUACCCCUCAGGGCCCUGGUGAGGGGUGGCUAAGACUGGUUAAUGUAUUUAUCUGUUAAGCAUGAACUAUGUACCUCAUUCGUGGGGUCUAGGACUGAAGUUUUCAGCCAGCAUGGACUUACCUACUUUGGCGGAUAAAAUUUACUGUUUUGUUUCAGGCAAAAUUCUGGUGUGGUGUGAAUGCCGUGGGGUCAGUCUGAAUAUUUCGUUUGCUAUAAUUUUAUUAUUACAUAAUGUUUGUGAUAUGUGUUUUUUAAUUUGAAAGCAUAAACUUUUUUAUUGUUCAAAGACAAUUUUUGAUUGGCUUGACCUUUAAGAGUGUCGAAUACUAAAUUGAGGGCUACAUCUUAUUUUUUUACAUUUUAGAGAACAAAAUAGCGUUAAUUUAAUCUGAAAAGCACAUAUCACUUGGUAUUUCUGUCUUGGUAGCAGUGGUGACACAAAAUUAGUUUCUUGGUUUCAUUAACUCCUACAUGGUUGGGAAUCACUGAUCAAGAAAGUGAAAGAAGAAAACCUAUAAUUAAAAACCUUAAUCCUCAGUAGAAAUUAGGUUACAUUAUUCAAGUGAAUUUAUAGGUAACCUGUAAAUGGAGGAUGAGAAGAAUCAUUACAAAGCAUUUUAUCUGGUAAUACUUGAGUUAGACUGUGUUGGGAGAGCAUCCUAACAGGAUUAUUGUGUCUUGUAGUUGGUGCACGGGAGCAACUGAUGUGCCCCCUUCAGAACCUUGAUUCUCAGUAACAGUGGAGAUAACAGUAAAAAACAGUGAGCAGAGAUACGACUCUUAGGCCAAGCAGGCUGAUCAUAAAGCUGUAGGAGAUGACUGUUGGCAGUGCUCAGCCAGAGUAAGAUAGGGAGGAAAGUCGACGAGUUCUCCAAGUUCUCUGGGGCUGGUCUGUCCCUGUGUUGGGAAAGUGUGCCCUAGCUUUAUGGAUGAGUUGUAACUUAAGGAUAGCUUCCCCUUGUUUGGGUUCCACAGAUAACCUGGUUUUCUGUGUCACUGCCUCUAGGAAGAAAAUGUGCUCUUCACGCUGACAUACGUAUUCAGUCUGCAUGGUCCACUCUAUCAUUCUCUACCCUGCUCUGUGCUCCAGGAAGCCGACCUGUGUUGACCGUUUAACCAGCUGCUAGACCCUCUGAUUUCUGAUUAAACUUGGCCAGUGUGGAGCACUGCCAACGUGGAGGACUGGUAAGAGAUCAGAGGGUGAGGGGAGAAUGAGAUCAGGGUACUCUCCUGGUUCCCCAUCUGCAGGGUUGCUGUGGGCACCUAUAUCCCUUGAUGAAAGGCCACAGUUCCUGCCAGGCAGCCCUCUCCACAAAGCUCUCUCUGUCUCUGUAUUCUAGUAAUGGCCCCCCUCCCUCAUUCCUUCUAGGCCUAUAGUGGCCACCACUAGUGCACUUGUAUUUCCCUAUACCAGUUUAUUAGUUUAAUAGUUCCUUUAUUAAACUUUCCUAGAAUUCCCUGGCAGUCCAGUGGUUAGGAAUCCGCACUUCCACUGCAGGGGUCAUGGGUUUGAUCCCUGGUCGGGGAACUAAGAUCCCGCAAGCUGCAUGGCAUAGCCAAAAAAAAAAAAUAAGAAAGAAAAAGAAAUGGGGUUACUGUAAAGAGCUCAUGGAAAUUUGAGCAGUUUAACCUUUAAAAAAAAAAGGUUAAUUUUAGCAAUUUGAGUUGCUAUCAGUUUCCUGCCUUCCUGAUCAGGGUGGGUGUAGUAGAGAGAGCAAUGGAUAUAUUUGGAGGUAGAGCCUUGCGGUUUUGAUGGAUUGGAUGGUGUGACAGACAUGGAUCCUGGCUCUUAGAAAAGUUCUCAUAAAUUGGAGGAGAAAGGACGUACAGUCUAGAAAAAAACACAGGUGCAUACUAACUAACUGUAGUCCAGCUAUAGCCUCAAGUUGCAAAAUGGUUGGAGCCAGCUACUCAAUGCACUAAUCCAUCUAUCCCCUUAUCUCCUUGCCUUGGGGACAGAAUUGACUCUUCUCCAAGUCCUCAGAUAUGCAGGAGAGAAAUUAGAGGGAAUUGGUUGGUUUCCACAGAGGAAUCAGUAAAGUGGGGGUCUCCCAAGGAAGCAGUGGAAAUAGAGAUUCCUGGAAACGAUUCCAGGAAAAGGUCUAGUCAAUUGGGUGAAGUGUCAAAAACCAGACACUGGCUUGAAAUAGCUCAGCUUCCCAACCAGAUGGUCUGGAGAUAAAGGAGGACAACAGAUUGUGGAGAUAUUCAGGGAGAUAUUCUCAGGGUUCAUGAAGAAAAACCCUGUUAUACCCAGUAGCUGUCCUGUGCCUAUUCCAUCCUGAAGCCAUAUACAGGAUAAAAUGGGGGCGAUUACUCCAUCACAGACCCUACCUCACUUAUACCUCCCAGUUUUCCCCCCACUUUCUCUCUUUUCCCUGAAUGCUGCUCUGCUACCCUGGCUCUUCCAAAUGCUGAAAGGUACACAUCAAACUUACAUCCCUGCUAGAUUGCAGAGCAUCUGAGAUCAAGGUGUUAUUUGCAUACUUCAGGUUUUCCUGAGUCAGACUGGAAACUCCUGCCUGGAGUAGUUCCCUUUGACUCAAUAUAGAGAACUCUGAUUGGGGCGUAACUUCCACGACAUGAUCCUUAGGUCUUCGGCCCCUGGACGUGUCCUCUGGGGCCUGCUAGAUGUAUCAGCCCAGCCUCUCAGACCAGGGCCUCUUGAGUGGCCAGUACUGUAAACUUUCUUUUUUUGUCACACUUACUUUACUCCCACGAGAAGCACUGUGCUUCAUCUUACUCCCUUCUAUGCUGUAAGGAUCCAGGCAUCCUUUAGACAUUUAUCAUUACGUCUUCCAGCUAGCUGUAUGAACUUAGAGACAUUACUUAACUUCUGUAUGUCUCAAGUUGUUAUUAAGUUCUUAACAAUUCCUGGCACAUGACACAACUCAGUAAGUGUUGUUGUUGUUAUUAUUAUAUUAUUAUUAACAUAGCAGUAUGUUCAUAUAACUGGUACAACCCACUUUACCAAAUUUGACUGUUAAAAAUGGUCACAUUUCUCUCUUUUUAAAAUUCUGAGUCUGAAUUCAGUUUAUUUUUAUAACUGUUUUAUUUUACUUUAGUUGUUUAUUUCUUACCUAGAUAUUAUGUGCACCCAGAAAAAAUUCCAAAAAAGUAAAAAGGCCCACCACUUAUCCCAACCACCCAGUUCCCCUCCCCACAGACAGCCCUUAUACCAAUUCUUUCGUUAAACUUCAAGGAUAUUCUAUGCAAUUACAGUCACAGACUCGGCCAUUUUUUCCUUGUACAAAUACUAGCCAUAACAAUGUAUUUUGGAGAGCUUUUCAAAUCAGUUCUUACUGAGUUGCCUAAUUCUUCCUUUUUAAAAAAAAAAAAAGAUUUCCCUCCUAUUUUUAGAUUAGGGGGGAAUUCUGAGGAUUAGGUUCCCCCCAAUUUAGAAAUUUGGUAUAAUUUUCAUAAAAUAAGAUUCAUCCAUUUUAACAGUACAGUUUAAUAAGUUUGGCAAUUGUAUAUAGUCAUGUAACCAUCACCACAAUUAAGAUAUAAAAUGUUUCCAUCACCCUAAAAAGUCCCCUCUUUCUCCAUUGUAAUCAAUCUCCUCACCUAAAAUCUAGCUCUGUGAAACCACUGACGUGCUUUUCGCUACUCUAGUUUUGCUUUUUCUAGAAUUUCAUUUUUAUGGCAUUGUACAAUACGCAGUGUUUUUUGUUUUGUUUUGUGUUUUUUUUUGCGGUACACAGGCCUCUCACUGUUGUGGCCUCUCCCGUUGCAGAGCACAGGCUCUGGACGCACAGGCUCAGCGGCCAUGGCUCACGGGCCUAGCCGCUCCGCAGCAUGUGGGCUCUUCCCGGACCAGGGCACGAACCCGUGUCCCCUGCAUUGGCAGGCGGACUCUCAACCACUGCGCCACCAGGGAAGCCCUCUUCUCUAGUUUUAAACAAGCAUUUUAUAUAAUUCCAUUUUCUCUCUUCUCUUAGCAUAUUAAUUAUAUUUAAAAAAUAUUUAGUGGUUUCCCUAGAGUUUGAAAUAUAUAUUUACAACAAAUCUAAGUUCAUUUUCAAAUACACUAUACCACUUCAUGAAUAGUGCAGGUAUCUUAUAAAAGUAUUAUGAAUCCCUCCUUCCUGUCCCUUAUAACAUUGUUGUCAUUCAUUUCACUUAUCUAUAAGCUAUAAUCUCCCAAUACAUUGUGCUAUUAUUUGAACAAUUAACUAAUAGAUCAAUAAAAUGAAAGAUUUUAUCUUCAUUUAUACCUUCUCUAACGCUCUUCUUUUUUGUUACAUAGGUGCAAGUUUCUGACCUAUAUCAUUUUUCUUCUCUCUGAAGAACAUUUUAUAAUGUUUCUUGUAAGACAGGUCUACUGGCAACACAUUCCCUCAGUUUUUGUCUGGGAAAGUCUUUAUUUCUCCUUCACUUCUAAAGAUAAUUUUGCUGGAUACAGAAUUCUAGAUUGAUAGUUUUUUGUUUUUUGGCAGUGCUGUGUGGCUUGUGGGAUCUUAGUUCCCCGACAAGGGGUCUAACCUGGGCCCAGCAGUGAAAGCGCUGAGUCCUAACCACUGAACCGCCAGGGAAUUCCUGAUGGUUUUUUUCUUUUAGCACUUAAAAUAGUUCACUCUACGCACCUCUUGCUUGCAUGGUUUCUGAAGAGUUCAACAUAUUUCUUAUCUUUUUCCUGUAUGUGUAAGGUCUCCCUGCACCCCACUGUGGCUUCUUUCAAGACUUUGGUUUUCUGUGGUUUGAAUAUGAUAUGCCCAGGUACAGGAUUUUGGGUAUUUAUCGUAUGUGGUGUUUUCUGAGCUUCCUGGAUCUGUAGUUUGGUUCUGUCAUUAAUAUUGGAAAAUUGGGACUUCCCUAGCGGUUCAGUGGUUAAGUCUCUGUGCUCCCAAUGCAGGGGGCCCAGGUUUGAUCCCUGGUCAGGGAACUAGAUCCCACAUGCAUGAUGGAACUAAGAGUUCACAUGCUGCAGCUAAGAGUCUGCAUGCCACAACUAAAGAUCCCACAUGCUGCAACUAAACAUGCUGCAACAGAGAUCCUGCAUGCUGCAACUAAGAUAAUGAAAUAGUAUACAGCUAUUCAAAAAGAUGCAGAAGCUCUAGAUGUACCAAUAUGUGACACUCCCCAAGACAUAUUUAAAAGGCAACAUACAAUAUGAAGGGAAUUCCCUGUCAGUCCAGUGGUUAGAACUCCACACUCUCACUGCUGAGGGCCCAGGUUCAAUCUCUGGUUGGGGAAUUAAGAUCCUACAAACUGCAUGGCACAGCCAAAUAAAUAAAUAAGUAAAUAAAUAAAUAAAUAAUAAAGUUAAAGUAAAAAAAUAAUACGAAAAAGUGCUAUCCUUUAAGAAGAUAAAUACAAAUGAAAUGGAGCAGGACCCUAUGGUGCUUCCCCCUCAUGUCCUCUGCCUGCCUUUUGUCUGUGAAAACAAAAAAAAAACCUUUAGCCAAAGAAUAAGUUUAAUCAGAGAAGUGAGAAAAUACAGACACAAAGGAAAACAGUCCAACAAGGCUAAAUAAUAGGGCUUCCCUGGUGGCGCAGUGAUUGAGAAUCCAUCUGCCAAUUCAGGGGACACAGGUUCAAUCCCUGGGCCGGGAAGAUCCCACAUGCCAUGGAGCAGCUGAGCCCAUGAGCCACAACAUUUAGCCUGCGUGCCGCAACUACUGAAGCCCGCGUGCCUAGAGCCCGUGCUCCACGAGAGAAGCCACCGUGAUGAGAAGCCCGUGCACUGCAACGAAGAGUAGCCCCCGCUCACCUCAACUAGAGAAAGCCUGCGUGCAGCGAUGAAGACCCAACACAGCCUAAAUAAAUAAACAAAAUUUGUUAAAAAAAAAAAAAACUAAAUAAUAA